CUCAUUUCAAACCCUCAUGUACCAUGCAUCUGGACCCCGAGUCUGUGACAAUGACCUGGGCCUAAUGCCCCACCGUGCUAGGAAUCUUCUCUAUGUUUCUGAAACAUGGGCUUCUUCCCUGUCAAAUGGUGGAGGGAGGCAUUCUUUCUAACUCCAGCAUCUUAAUUGUCUUGUUCUGGGUGAAGAUGGCCCAUAGCUGGGAGAGCAAGUACUUAGAAGACCUGGUGCCUUCAUAGAAGUCAAGAACCACCAAGCAUCACACUCAAGGUGAUUUUCUCAGGCUCAUUUAUUUAGUUAGUGUAUGAAUUAGUGAGGAGCUGCAGCUCCUGAGCAAUCAGAGUCAUUUUAGUAUUUAAUGAUCUCAGUUGUGAAGACUUGCCAUUUAAGAUAUUCGUGCUUUAGGCUGUGAGUCAGUCAGCUGUCCGUUAUUGUGACAAAAAUACCUGAGAAAAUCAACUGAAAGCAGGAAAGGUUUGUUUUCGAAGUUCCAUUUUAUAGUCACUUGGCCCCAUCACUUUGGGCCUAUAGUGAGGCAGAACCUCAUUGGGGGAACACAUGAUGGAGCGAAGCUGCUCACUUCAUGAUGACUACAAGGAAAUAGAGGGAGAGGAAGGUACCCAGUAUCUCCUUCAAGGGCAUCCCCCAAUGACCUGACUUCUUCCCACACAACUGCACCUCUUAAAGGUUACACCGCCUCUCAGAGGCGCCACUUAACCAGAGACCAAGUCUUUAACACAUGAGCCUUUGGAGAAUCUUAGAUCCAAAUCCCAACAGGUUGAGAUGAUGGAAGUAUUAGCCACCUUUUUGCCACUGUGACCAAAAUAUCUAAUGAGAACAAUUUAGAGGAGGACAAGUUUCCUUGAGGCUGUUUCUGAGAUUCUGUCCGUGAUCCGCUGACUCCAUUGCUCUAGGCCUGAGGCGAGGCAGAACAUCAUGGUGGAAGGGUGAAGUGGAGAAACACCUCUCCAUGAUGGUGGCCAGGAAACAGAGUGAGAGGAAGGGGCCACAGGAAAGAUGGAUCCUCCUAGGGUGGACCCCAGUGAGCCACCUCCAGUCACACGUCCCCUGCCUACCGUUGCCACCCAGUGAGUCCAUUCAACCUAGGACGGACAGCUUGGGUUACUGCCCUUCUCUGCACUCACUGUAAG
rnacentral:lncRNA from 1 species